ensembl:lncRNA
UCAGGUCGCCCUCGUCCCCAGAGGUAGCAGAUUAGUUGAUGGAUGUUGCAUGUGGGGACAUGGUGAUGCUAGCUUACUUCAAAUGUUGUUUUAUAGGAAUUUAUUGUAAUUGGAUAUUAUUAAUUGAAUAUACUAACAAAUUUCUUCCAUUUUAUCUUAAAAUGUCGUCUUGUCACCUCAUCUCUGCAGUAGAUUUCACACUGAGCACACAAGGGUGCUUCUCUCUGCCCCCCCCCCCCACACACACUGUCCCUCCCAUCCAUCCAUCUGUGUGCGCUGUGACUUUGCCUCUCCACCGAGUGUGUUCCAGCCAUAUUGUGGGUUGAAAUGUUUACGCCUCUAAUGAGCCAAUUGUUCUUGUGUUUUGUUCCCCUCGGGGAGCGUUGUGUAGCUAACAACAUUCUGCUCAAAAAACAUUUUGAAACGUGCUCACUGCACCGGGGAGGGAUUGGGGCCAACAGAACAAUGAUGCCUCGGAGCGUGUACAAAACGGAAGACGUGUUAAUGACGGUCGCGCCAGCGGAGUGACACUGCAUUCUUCUCCUGUCAAUUAGACUCUGGUUAUUCAAAAGCAAUUUGGAGCUCCCCGCGGAGUGAAAUGUGUGCCUGUAUCUCCCGGGCCUUCGUGCGUGAUGAAGUUGUGUAUUCAUUCCAUUUCUUUGUGCGCGCGUCCUACUUUGAGGCGUAGGUAUUGUGCUGAGGUUAGAGACAAGCCGCGUGCUCCGUGCCCAUAGUGAUCUUCACGAAAAGGGAGAAAAGCGCGGCCGUGUUUUGAGCUCCGUGCGGGUUUCUUUCUGCGUGCGCUCAUGUCCGUGAACAAGAGGUAUUGAUACAGCUGGCAUUCAAGACCCUGAUUAAUUGCAAUGGCAUUUGGCUGUUCUCUGUAAAUGCCACAUCCCAUGCUGAGUGCUUGGUUAAUAGCUGUCUGCCCAUUGAAGGCCCCGCGUCGGCCUUUUCCUUCAUCUCCCUCUCUCCUUCUUUCCUCCUCUCCCUUUCCUCUGCCCUCCGCUGCGCCUCUGCUGCAUGAAAGGUCAGAGGUGCUUUAUCAGCAGGAAUUAGUGGAGUGACCCCGUGCGGAUCAGAUGUGCACGCUCUGCACAGCUGGGUCUUGCCGUAUGUCUCUUUGCCGGCGGCGGCGGCGGCGGCAGAAAGUAUGUUAUGUUUAUGUCCUCGUCCCCUCCAAUCUACAGCAAACGUGCUAUGAUAAGAGCGGGAGAAGCACUCUACCUUCAAGUGCGUAUGCCCCGAAGACCCAAUUUCCGCUUGUCUCUACAUCUCAGAAAAAAAAAAGAUACGAAGAAUUAGCUUUCACCCCCCGAGUGGAUUAGUUUGCUCUAUCUUAAUGAGGUUUGCCAUGUCAGAGGGAAUAGUUCAGAGCCUGCAUGCUAAACAGACUGAAAUUGGAAUAGAGUAUCAGCUCCUUGACUGCAAAUAUACCUUCGCUCUCCAACUCUAAUUCCAAAACUGCCACCCAAUUACCCUCAUACACGCUUUAAUCUUGUCGCUUCCAAAUGGGAAUAGAAGACCACGCAGAGGAAAAAAAAUCACUUUGUUUUUUUUUCCCUUUUUGGAAAAGUAAUUCAAAAAUCCAAUUAACCGAGGAAAAAAAAAACCUGUCACCAGUUUGACUGGAGACACUGAAUGUAGUUAUGCAAAUGGACCCAAAGCAUUGUGGAAUGCGAUUUGACAGAAUCUCAUUCUGGAUGGAGCGAGGCCAGAUGGAGAGAUUACUCAGCCGCGUCGGAGUGGAGGCGAACAGGAAGCGGCGAGCUCGGACAGAGAGACGGACGGGAGCAUUUCUUCAACGGGGCUUUCCUCUGCUCCUUCUGCAUCAGCUCUUUUUUUUCCCGUCCGUCAGAUGCCGGCUUAAUAUCAGAUGCCAAAUAACAUUUCUACACAAUUCAUCAUUUUUGCUCACCACAGGGGAGAGGCAGACGCUAUUGCAUCCUCCCACUUGUCUUUACUCUGCUUACAGUGCGGUUUCACGGCAGCCGGGCGGCGACGGCCAAAGGGCUGAGAUAAGGAGAGGAGGCGUGUCCAAAGUGGGGUUCUUUUAUUUUUAGGCACCGGUGGAGAGACGGCGUGGUCGGCUGUGUUGUCACAGCCUCGUCGUAGCAUUCAGGUGUUACUUUGACGGAGUGGUGCGACUCCCAUUAACAUUUCUCUCACAGAAACACUCG